rnacentral:rRNA from 1 species
CAACUCGCCUACAUGAAGCUGGAAUUGCUAGUAAUCAUAGGUCAGCAUACUAUGGUGAAUACGUUCCCGGGCCUUGUACACACCGCCCGUCACACCAUGAGAGUUGAGAAUACCCGAAGUCCAUGUCAAAGUGGCCGAAGGUAGGCUUGAUGAUUGGGGUGAAGUCGUAACAAGGUAUC